AUGGACCACGUGCCCACUGCGGUUCUGAGCGCGCCGUCCGCGCCCACCUGACAGCUGCUCGCGACGUUUUGUUAGCC
rnacentral:sRNA from 1 species